rnacentral:rRNA from 1 species
UACGGGGGGGGCAAGCGUUGUUCGGAAUUACUGGGCGUAAAGGGCUCGUAGGCGGCCAACUAAGUCGGAUGUGAAAUCCCCAGGCUUAACCUGGGAACUGCAUCCGAUACUGGAUGGCUUGAAUUCGGGAGAGGGAUGCAGAAUUCCAGGUGUAGCGGUGAAAUGCGUAGAUAUCUGGAGGAACACCGGUGGCGAAGGCGGCGUCCUGGACCAACACUGACACUGAUGAGCGAAAGCCAGGGGAGCAAACGGG